ensembl:lncRNA
UUUUUUGAUUUAUACUUUUUUCUACUUUUUUUUUUUUUGGUGUUUUUCUUUUUUUUUUUUAAUUUUAAUAUCUUUAAUUCUUACAUGCGUUCCUUACUUUUCUGCCACGUUAUUCAUCUUACCCUUUAAGGAGAAUCAGUGGGAAGGUAACAGGAGGAAAACAUCUGUUUCCUUUGGGAUCAAGUACUUGUUCAUUCCAUUGCCCCCUCUCUACUGAGGGUCCAUAUUAACCUCACAAUAUUUUGGUUUCUAUGCUGCCUCCCGAUUACCUCUCUGAGAAAUGCUUCCUUAGCUUUUCCCUGCCUAAGCACUUAUAUUUUGCAGCUCAUAUUUACCCAGAGUAUACUUAGCUUUUAACCUCUCCCUAAACUGGCCUUCUUGUCCCAAUAAUUAUGCACAGUAAAACUUAGUUUGCCUCAGUAGGUGAUGACCAAGCAUCAUCAACAAGCCGGGGGCCAUAUGUGAUUUAAAAAGAAACAAACCAAGAAAAGAAGUGCAAGAUGUGGUUCUUGCUCUCGACAACUUCCAGUCUUGUCAGAAAAACAAAACACCCAUCUAUUAAAAGUCUAUCAAUAAUUUAUAUGUGGGCACGCCAAGCAGCGUGCUGUGUGCGGUCAUGCACAGGACCUGGGGCCCCACUGGCUGGAAAUAGGACCGUGGAUAGCCCACAUUCCCUGGCAGAGAGCAAGCAAGAUUUCACCCCUGUGUUUCUGGAAAAGGACCUGAGACUGUUAUCUGCUGAGAUGCUUGACUUUCUUGACAACCCUUGACAGAAAGCAGCCUGAGGUGAGGACAGAAACAGUAGAAGCAGGAAUGAGUCAGGCAUGAGUCACCAGGAGUCUUGCUCAGCCCCAAGGAGGAUGCGGUGACUCUGAGUCUCACCGAAGCAUGUUUUCAGCGUGUGCCCCAACAUGGCUUACUGAAAACACUCUUGCUCCCACUCUUUCUGGCAAAGUGAAACAUUGCAAACACUUCUGCAAAUGUCCCCAAGACGAUGGUGCCUUCCUCUCAGGAAGGGCAGCUGAGGUGGGAAAUGCCCGCUGCUGCCUGGUACCUUCAGAAACAUGCACACCCACCCGGCCGAGGUAGGAGACAAGUUUUUCACCAAGUGUUGCAAAGGCUCUGCUUCCCCACUACCCCACGCAGGAGAAGUAGCCAGAGGCUGUUUGCUGAUGGCUGUGAUGAGGAAAAUGGAGGUGCUGGGUAGCAAUGGGGCUGAAGCUGCUACAGCCAUUAGGGAAUCUCCCUCCAGUGCUCAGAGCACCCAUCCCAGGAAAAACGUUAGGGUCAGCCUUCCCGGGUUCCCAGCAUUUAGAGCUCCUGGGAAGUAUGUUUGUCCUCCUUGAGAGGUUGGGCAAAGCCAGGAUGUUUUUGUAAUGCACUUACCCAGAGUGUGAUUAUGGGAACAGAGUCACUUUUGGAAACGGGACUCAAGUGCUGGUCACACCAAGUAAGUGAGCUGCGAUCCUCCUGGGCACACGACCCUCUCCCCAACCCAUCAACUUUCCUACCCCAUAGGUGCUGGACAACUUAUGUUCAUGGGAGUAGGAAGGGCAUGUCCUCCAUCAAUGCCACACCUAACAUUCUUAGAAGGUCGCUUCUAAAAACCUUUGUGUCUAACCUUUAUGUGCCCCUUGUUGCUUUCUCUCAGCAUCUCCACUGACAAUAUAAUAUAAAAUCUCCUUUGCCUCCAUUUUGGGAGCACUUGUGUUUGACGAAAGAGUAACAGAGUCAGACUUUUGCCUGUGGCCCCAGGCAAGCAGGCAGUGCUGGUGGUGCUGCUGCUACAAGGGAGUUGCUGCCUUGCUUCUCCUCUGACAGGAGCAUGUGCAUUCUCCUAAGUAAAGGAAGUGUGGGGCUCUUCCAGUCCCAUCACUGCCCUAGGUUUAGGGGCCCUGGACAACUGUGGGAGAUUCCUGCAACUCUGGGCAUGUCAGCUAGUGUUUCCCUGGAUUGUUGCCCUAACCACUGGGGCAACAGGUAGAGGGAGGUCAUGUGAGAUGGGUUUUAGCAAGGGCUUUCCUUGCUGUGUGUAUCAAGACGAAACUAUGGACUUAUACUUGGAAGAGGGACCAAGCUUGUUGUUCACCCACGUGAGUAUUAUAGAAACAGUCAAGGGAUAUUCUGUAGACAGAGGACACACGUUGGAAGGAUACUGCAAUAAUGAGGGAGUCUGUGAUUGGUCUGCUCCAUCGUUAGAGAGCCCAUUGUUGUCUUGGAGUAACCUACCAUUGUGUCAGGUCUAAUGAAAUGAUUGAGGUUGUGCUGGACAAGGGUUUUGCAUGGUGUGUGCAGAGGACAAAUCCCUGAGGACUGAGGAAAAAGGCUUCACUCUUGCUUAGGUUUCUGAAGCAGAACUAUCUUCUUGGCAGCCAAGGGGCCCAUCUUACCCCUCAACUCUGUGGCUGAGAAUCUCUUACCACGUUGUCUUGGAUCCAUGAGAUAUCUGUCCCAGGAAAGAGCAUCCCAGUCAGAAUGUUGAGGCACCCUAUGGUGUUGGAAAGGGCGAUGGAACAGGGACAGGUCUCCUCUGGCUGCAAAAAGCCUCAUUCCUCCCUCGGUGGAAAUCAUUUCUGGGAACCGUUAGAUUAUUAGCUACUAUUUACUGAAUGUCUGACAUGUGCCGGUGACUACAUCCUGUCCUCCAUAGAAUUUCUCAUUCAAUGCUCGCAGCCAUCUUAAUGCUAGGUAGCUAGUUUUAGGCCCAUUUUACAGAUGAAGAAACAGAGGCUUGAGACAAAUAACUUGCCCAACCCAACAUCAUACAGCUAGGAAUGACAAAGCUAGAAUUUAACUCUGAUCUAUUUGACUCCAGGGCCUUACUGUGAACCAUCCCACCACGCUGCUACCACUGUCCCUCCUGCAUUCUGUGAAGGAAGAUUACAGACCUCAAAGGCUACUGGUCUGGCCCCUGGUUUGCCCAACCCAAGCUUUGUUGCCAUGGCAACCAUGGCAGCCUUGGUCCAGGAUUCAUCAUUUCUGAAGAGAUGAGUAAAGUCGUUGAACUGGGUUGGCAGAAUGCAGGUAUGGCAGGGAGAGGAGUAGAAACCUAAGGGGACUGGUUAUUGGGCAUAAAGUAACACAGAAAGAAAUUUAUCAUCACAACCUUGAAACAGGCUGUUUAAAAGCUCUGUUCCCAAGAGUGAAGGCUGUAAAUAUGGGGGAGGGGAGGGGGGAGGGCGGCCACCCUCAGAGAGCAGUGUUUGUACUGCACUGUGGCAGGGUGUGGGCCCAGGCGGCAGAGCACUCACUUUGGGGGUGGAGCAAGACUCCGCAGACAUCCAAGUGAGUGCCCAGCCUUAGACUCCAGCCAAAAGCACAGAAAGUCCCUAUUCUGCUUUCUUGGAUGUUGAGUCUGCACUUCCCAAACUAAUUUCUAAUGCUUCUUCAUGAGGUUUGAAUGUUUUGAAAUUUGAAUUCCCAGCCACAAGCUCAACAGUGGUUUAUUUUCUAAACGUAGUCAUUGCCCGUGGGGCCUGGCCUUUUCAUCGUUACAGAGGUAGACUCUUUUGCUAUUUCUAGAUUCCUUUGAGACAAAAGACCUUUAUUGGAAAAGAAAUCAUGACUGAUUAUGCCAAAAAAUUUAUUUUUGUUACCAUUUAAUCUUCAUGAAAGGUGAUAAGUUAAAUUUCUCAAAGAUCAUGGGCAAGGGAUAUACUCUCACAAAACUCCAUGUCUAAUCAAGGGACAUGGGAAGGACUUAAGGCCUAAAUAAUGCAAUAAAAAUAUUGAGUUUAGAAAAUGGACCCAUACAGAACUUAAAAGAUAAAUGAAACAGUCUUAAUAAAAGAAGAGAGCAGGAUUGCAUCUAAAAUGAAUUAAAAUAUUCAGAGGGCUUUCAUUCAACAAAUAUUUAGCAAAUACCUAUUAUUGGGUUGACCAAAAGGCUCAUUCAAUGCAGGAGACAUAAGAGACGUGGGUUCUAUCCUGGGUUAGGAAGAUCCCCUGGAGUAGAAAAUGGCAACCUGCUCCAGUAUUCUUGCCUGGAAAAUCCCAUGGACAGAGGACCCUGGUGGGCUACAGUCCAUGGGGUCAAAAAAGGGUUAGACACAACUGAGCAACUGAGCACACACAAAAGGCCCAUUUGGGUUUUUCCAUAAAGAUCUCACAGAAAAACCUGAACAAAUUUUUUGGCCAACCCAAUAUAUUCUAAGCACUAUAUAGAAGAAAGGAGGGAGGAAGGGAAGGAUAGAAGGGAGAGAAGGAAGAAAGGAAAGGUCUCUGUCAUCCAGUAUCUCCCCAUGGAUAGACAUCCAGACAAACAGACAGUUAAAGACAGUGUCACUACGCUGCAGUGGAAGUACACACAGGUUGCGAUGGAAUCGCAGAAAGAAAGGCAUCCUGACCUCCUAUCCUAGCUGCUUGGUACUUUCAUCCAUCCUGCACGGCACCAUAAGCUCUGUGAGGGUAAGACCCGCUCUCCUUCAUCCUUAAACCACCACACCCCAGCACCAUGCCUGACACAUAGGCAUCACCAAACAAAUGACUGUGGACAAAUGCCUUUAGCUAGAGAGUUGGGGAGGACUUCAGGACAGAGGCAGUAACUGCUUAGAACCUAUUGGUUUAGACGGCAGCAAGUAUUCUCCAGCAGAGUUGCUAAAUUACAAAACCAAGAGAUUACAGAAUCCAUCUGAACGCGCAUGGGUGGGUGAGAGCCCACUUCUCGAGGGAAAACUUCCUCCAUACUUGUCCAUUCAUUUGUGCACUCACCGAAGCAUCUUCCCUGCCCUGGGUCAGUUCAGGUUGCCUUUAGAAAGCCUGAAAGCCCAUCAGAUUUCUGAAGAACCAGAGUUCAGAGGUAUAAGAAUUGUACCACCCUGCUAGGGAAGUAGCACAAGUGGAAAAUCGUAUGAUAGCAAAAAGGAAAAUGGUCUAAUGAUAAAUACUUGAAGUAUAUGUCUCUACUUGAGACGCCACCCAGGAUGGAAAUUUUUCUCCAUUAGGGCCAGAAUCUCCUUUGAAGCAGGUAGCUCUAAGAUCUGUAGCAAGGUGUGUGGAAAGAAAACCAACAAAUUCACAUUUGGGCAAGGCUUUCAAGUUGCCAUUGUUCCCAGUAGGUAAGCCCUGCAAAGUAUUGGGGUGAUGUGGUCUUGCAUGAUGAGUGUGUUCAUAUCUGCCCUCGAGCCAUUCCUGACAGUGGCAAGAAAAUUUGCUACAUAGCUGACUACUGUUCAGCAAUUGCCCGAAUAGAAUGAAGCUGUUUCAUAAUGAUUAGAAAGAAAUAAUCAGCAUCAAUGAGACCCCUAAUUGUGUCCAUAGGAGUUGGUAGGACAAACAGACUAAGAACACGAAAGCUUAAGGAUAAUAUUAGGCUGAAAUUUAGGAUGAAUUUUAAAUUCUUUGAACUAGAAAAGGGACUUCCGGGGAAUGAAUAUCUAAACCUGUACAUGUUCCACAGAGGUUAAUGGAUGUUUUAAGAAACAAAACAUUCUCGGAUCAAAUAAGUUUAAGAAGCUCUAAAUUUCUUUAUUGUAAGACCUCUCAGAGCCUUUAAACUGCUAAUAUGUGUUGUCAGGCUUCAGGACUGAAAAUAGAGUAUACAGCAUUUUCCACACUUCUUUGAGCUUAGAAUCUUUUUUGCAGAAAAAUUUAGGACUAGAGUUCUGUGAAAUUCUCACUGAAAAGGACUUGUCUAAACCACUCUCAAACUGGAGAUUUUUUUUUGUCCCCAUAUGAACAUUAAUCCUAACCUUAGAACUUUCCAGAGAACUAGAUUCUUGGGCCCCAUCUGCAACUCCCUCCUGAUUCUCACAACCUUCACAAUUAAGCGGUCCUCCUUGUGCACUUUAUGGGACUAUUCCUAUGGCAAUAUUAGUUUGUGUCUGCCUUCAAGGAGUAACGGAACCACUUUCUAACACGAGCGCUCUAGUAGGCCUCCCUUGCUUGAUUAAGUUGCACUCGAGGUUUUCCAUCUAUUUCCAGUGCUGUGAAUGUUCGCUCAAGAUUCAUUUCCCAAUUAAUCUCUGGGUUUUCUCCAGACUCUUUCAGUUUUCUCUCCUCACUUUCACUGUGGAAUCUAGAAUGGGCAUCCACCCUCCAGAAAGAGCCUGACCUGCUGAAGGCUGGCUGGGAGAGAAAGGUGUAUAAGGUUGUUAUACAGAAAGCUCAGGAAUUAGGACUCGGUGAGCCGGACUUUUCUCUUGUGCUAGAAAGGGGGAUUUUGAAGGAGCCUGUGAAACAGACACAGGAGUCAUUGCUAACCCUGCCAGGCGCUAGAGUUCUUGUAAAGCAUCCUCCUAGUGGGUGUCAUCUGGUGGCUACAAUAAGCUGACCUUUGGACCCGGGACCAGGCUGACUGUACACGCACGUGAGUAUGACGGUGUGAAUGACCGAGGCAGAGUGACUGACCUUUUGUCUGUGAGAAAACCGGCACUGAUUUAUGGCAAGCUUGAGGAUAUGUGAAGCACUCGUUUCCAUUUCUACAAACUCUCUGGGAACUUGAAAUGUUCCCAUUUCUCAUGUUAAAGAUAGAAGUGCCAAGAGCCAGCUGGGUAAAUGAAAAUCUGAGCAGAACAAUUUACGGAAACAUAAAAAGAGUUGCAGAUACUUGGUGCUUUCAAGUGAAACGGAUCAUAUCAGCACCAGAUAAUCUGAGCAUUCAGGAAAUUAGCUAAAUGCUCUUGGGGGAAAGAGAUGAGUUAAUGGUAAACACAAAUUCUCUUUUAUUGCAGCAGGUAGCUAAAUUCCCUGGAUGGACUAACGACCGUAGUGUGGGGAUAGCUGCUCACAGAAUCUUCCUCUCUGAGAUUGAGUAGAAUUUUGAACUGCUCCCCGGGUAAAAAUGACCCAGACCCCUAUGUGAAUGGCAAAUAUGACAAGGUAUGGAGGCAGGAUGAUGUAGGAUUCACAGCAUAGCUUAGAAGGCUAGCAGCCCUUGGGGGGAGUCUGGAUUUGUCCUCUCCAGCUAAUUAAGUCUUCACUUUCUCAACAGAAAAAUAAAAAUCACCACAUCAUAAUAUGAGAUAAUGCUCGGCAUAUAGCAAGUAAUCAAUAAAAGGCAGCUUUUCUAAAUAAUAUUAAUUAUCAUCAUCAUCAUGAAGGCUUUGUUAUUCUAAAGCUUCAUUAUUGUAAAGGGAAAGGGGAACAAUUUCUAUGGGAAAUAGGAAACCUAAGAAACAAAAGCCAGGGACCCUUCUCAGAUGGUGCCCUCAGAACCUGGUAGGUUCCAGCAGGUUAAUGUCAGGACAGUUAUUGCAAAGACCUUACCCUCGGUGGAGAUUCAGCACUGAUAAGUUAAACUUUGGAGCAGGGACCAGACUGAGUGUCCAACCAAGUAAGUAAUGCGGGGCAAAGGUGGCCACUGACAGCUAAUUCUUCUUUGUCUGAGAUGCCCAGUUGAGCCCGGGUGCUUUCUUCUGUUGAAUCCCAAAAGGUUCUUUCCACCCAUCCCAGAACAUCCUCUCAUCCUGUACUCAAUGCUCAGGAAACACCCUUGGGCCAGAACCUGAAACAUCAUGAGUCAGAUGAUGGGCAAGGAGUCCUGGACCUUUUCACAAGAGGAUCCAAGACACUGUUGUCCUGAGCAGAGGAGGUCGUCUACUAAAUUCUGUGUUUAUGGAAAUCAGAACCUCCAAUCCAGGGCACUAUAGCAGGAUGGGGCAGGAAGAAAAGGAUUAAGAGACAAAGACUCAACACUGAACAGCAGAAGGUCUAACUCUAAAGAGUGUGAUCCUCUGUCCCCUCUGAGAGACCAGUGUUUGUCACUGAAGUAGGAGGCAGGGCCAGUGAGUUUCUGUAAUGGUAUCCCCAGCAGUGUGGAUACAGGAGGAGUGAUGAGUAAACUCACGUUUGGGAAAGGAACCCAAGUGUCCAUAAUAUCUGGUGAGUCAUUCCAGGUGGCACCAUUUGUAGCCCCAUGGACCAGUGUUGCUAAACUUUUCCCUGGGGAUCUUGGUAUUACUAUGGCAAGGCUAACUGUGAGUGUUAUAACUGUCUUACAGAGGCCUCUGUGAAUGGAAAAGGCAAUACUAUUGAUCUUGAAAAUCUGUGUUUCUCUAGGUCAAACACAUUAAAAUUUGACUUUAAUCAUUCAACAGAUAACUUUAAAUGCCUUCUCUGAGGCCAUCAUUCUAUAAAACGUGAGACUGAGUGUGAAUAUCUAAGAGAGAUGCCUGAACUGUCUCCAAACAGUAUAAAAACUAGUCAAAGAGACCAAGGUAUUAUAAAUUUUGCAACCUGAAAACCAUUUUUGUGUCAACCAGCUGAUGAUGUUAACAGGCACGGUAGAGAUUCAGAGAAAUGGGGUUCUGGCUGAAAAGUUGGGCUACAUGGAGAAGGUUUUAUGAAGUAGAAAGAAUUUGUUGAGGCUAAAGGAUAAAUUAAGAUCUAUUUGGGCAAAGCAAGGAAAUGAGGGGACUUCCAGGCAUAAGAAACACCAAGAAAGAGGGCUUUAUCUCAGGAAUGAACAAGGCAUGUGCAUUUUGGCCAAGUAAACACUCUGAUAAUGAAGUUAGAUGGAGAGAAAGCCAAAGAUGUCUUCAGAAACAAUGGAGAAAAGGCAUGCUAGAGCCUUCAGGAUAAUAUAGACCAUUAGGCCCAAGGCCAGCCACUGGGAAACAGGGAAACAGUUCAGAAAUGCAGACCAGAGGUGAAGGUGAGAGAGGCCAGCUCUUCCCAUGGACAGCUCAUGGCCUGGACCACCCUCCUUUGUUGCUCAGUGGGCUGUAAGAGCCCAUCCGUCAGAGGAGAGGAAACCUAAGGCUUUCUGUAAUGAAGACAGUGAGAGUGAGAUGGAGGUGUUGCCUCCCAGAUGCAGUUUGGCAAGGGAACCAGAGUCUCCAUCACUCCAGGUAUGUCUGUGAAGGUUCACUGCUUCCUGACACUCACGAAGGCCUCAGUGGAACUCAAACUCAAAGUCAGAACUGCUCACCCACAUUUAGGCUUCCUGGUGCCCAACUUCCAAACACAGAUUUGGUGGUAAGGGAGUUUUCCGUCAUUGCUGUGCCCUGGGGAUCUUAGGCACUAGAGCCUUGGAACAUGUGCUUCUGUGGCUAAUUCUGAAUUAAAGUGAAUGGUGAGGAUCUAGAAAUAGCUGGGCUUCCACACUGAAAAGUUGAUCCAGUCUUGCUAAGCCUACCUUCUGAGAUGUCAUCAGUGGUAGGAGGCGUUUAUCUUACUAAAGUGGAACAGGAUGUUUUUCUCCCAGGGCUCUGGCAGAUGGACCCCUAAAGAUCUCCAAAUUAAUAAUGACUCAUUCUUUGUUUUCAGACAAAAAUGUUGCAUUGAGGUACCUGGGGAUAAAAGAAAAGGGGCUUUAUUUUUUAAGGACUUCUUCUUUAGCAUUUAUUUUCAUUUAUUUACUUGACUGUGCCAAGUCUUGGCUGUAACCAAUAUCUUUAGCUGUACCAUGAGAACUCUUAGUUGUGCCAUGUGGGAUCUAGCUCCCUGAUCAGGGAUCGAACCUGGACUCCCAGCACUGGGAGCCCAUUCUUAGCCACUGGACCGCCACAUAAGUCCCUAAAAGAGGGCUUUAAAAAGCCAAGUUUAGGGAUCAAUAUCCAGGGGGUUUUUUACCAAAAAGUCUAAUUAGUAGCAAUUUUCCAAAUCUGAUGGUCACUAGGCCACUUAUUUAUCCCACAAUUAUUUCUUGAGCACCUAGUAUAUGGCAAAGACUAGGGACACAUCUAGGGACAGGUCCUAGUUGUCACAGAGCUUAUAUUCCAGGGAGCCAGGGUGAAGAGUUUUGUCCAGCUGUACUCAUACAGGGCAUAUAAAGGACUUGAGAGAGGAAAUUCAAGCACUCCAAAUCGUGGCAACCACCCAAUGCUGUGCCACGAAGUAUGGGCAUUGUCCUAUAGGCAAUAGGAGUCUCUGGAGUAUUUUGAACAGAAAGUGACUCGAUCAGCUCCAUGUUUUAAACAGCUCAUUUGGAGGAUGAGCUCAAAGAAAAGACUGCAGUGGGGGGAGCAGGAGAGGGUGAGUAAGAAGGAAACCAGGGGCAAGGAAGCUGGGCAGGAGAAACAAGAGCAAAAAUGCAGUGGGGAAAGCCCAAGGGUAUCAGCUGGUAAAAACAAGAAUUGAGAGGGGCUAAAAAUCACCCCGAUUCUCUGACCGCACUAACUGCUCUUUCAUUUUGAUCUGUCACUAGCAAAGUUGAGCAACAGUAAGCCUGCCCUGGUAUCACCCUUCAAGGAUCUCAGCUGGCUUUAGUCUCACUCUCAGCCCCCUCAGCCUUACCUUGUGGUCCGUGGCAUCGCACCCUCCAGACCAAUGCCGUCCGAUAGAACUUUCUGUGACAGUGGAAAUAUUCUGUCAACCUGCACUGUCCUACACUGUAGGCAUCAGCCACAUGUGGCUACUGGGGUCUCAACAUGAAGGUUUAAUUGCUAAUUGGAUUUUUAAUUUUACUUGAUGUUUGUUGUUCAGUCGCUCGGUCGUACCCGACUCUUUGUGACCCCGUGGGCUGCAGCGCACCAGGCUUCCCUGUCCUUCUCAAUCUCCCGGAGUUUGCUUGGUGUUGGUUAGUGUAGCUAAAGACUAUCACACUGGACAGCAUGGUCUAGACCCUCUCCAGACUGACAGCCACUGGCUCUGGGAUCUAAGCGAGAGUUUCACCAGGACUCAGAGUCAAGUAUCUGGCCCCCAUAACAACCCCCUUCUCCCUCUGAGGUCGACCUGUGUCUGGUGCACUUUAACCUCGGCUCUCUUGAGGCCACGUUCUCUCAGC